CCUACGGGAGGCAGCAGUGAGGAAUAUUGGUCAAUGGACGAGAGUCUGAACCAGCCAAGUAGCGUGAAGGAUGACUGCCCUAUGGGUUGUAAACUUCUUUUAUAUGGGAGUAAAACAGGGUAUGCAUACCCUCUUGUAUGUACCAUAUGAAUAAGGAUCGGCUAACUCCGUGCCAGCAGCCGCGGUAAUACGGAGGAUCCGAGCGUUAUCCGGAUUUAUUGGGUUUAAAGGGAGCGUAGGUGGAUUGUUAAGUCAGUUGUGAAAGUUUGCGGCUCAACCGUACAAUUGCAGUUGAAACUGGCAGUCUUGAGUACAGUAGAGGUGGGCGGAAUUCGUGGUGUAGCGGUGAAAUGCUUAGAUAUCACGAAGAACUCCGAUUGCGAAGGCAGCUUACUGGACUGCAACUGACACUGAGGCUCGAAAGUGUGGGUAUCAAACAGGAUUAGAUACCCUAGUAGUC
rnacentral:rRNA from 1 species